CCAGCAGCCGCGGUAAUUCCAGCUCCAAUAGCGUAUAUUAAAGUUGUUGCAGUUAAAAAGCUCGUAGUUGGAUCUCAGGUCCCGGCUCGCGGUUCACUUCGCGGUGCUUACUGCCCGUCCGGACCUACCCGCCGGUUUUCCCUUGGUGCUCUUCAUUGAGUGUCUCGGGUGGCCGGAACGUUUACUUUGAAAAAAUUAGAGUGUUCAAAGCAGGCGCUUCGCCUGAAUAAUGGUGCAUGGAAUAAUGGAAUAGGACCUCGGUUCUAUUUUGUUGGUUUUCGGAACUCGAGGUAAUGAUUAAGAGGGACAGACGGGGGCAUUCGUAUUACGGUGUUAGAGGUGAAAUUCUUGGAUCGCCGUAAGACGAACUACUGCGAAAGCAU
rnacentral:rRNA from 1 species